AAUGGCCUAAGGUCACCAAACUGGCUGUAUGCCUAAACUGGGACUAGGAUUCAUCAUCUUCCAGUUUCUAGACUGAUACCUUAAACACAAUAUCAAACUGGCUCUACUGGAAUUAUUACUUUCCUCUUUGUCAAUGUCACCAAUUGGUCAAUAUCAUUUAUAUAAAGUGGUAGCAAGGAAGAGAAGAACUAUUGUUUUAUACUGACACCACUCUAAAACUGUACUGGUUCACCUUUAAAAUAUUUCAGCUUUAUACUAAAUCCUCUCUCUCUUUCCUCUUUUUAGAUGGUUGUGGUCCUUUAUAUGGAGCUGAAAGUCUUGGGGUGUUUGGCAGAAAGGUGAAAUUGACUACAAAUUAUGGAGAAAGCUCUUGAAAAAAAGUGUUGUGAACUAUUUAUCUUUUAUUUUCUGGGUACAUCAACUCUCCAUCUCUAUAAGCAAUGAGAUAUAUGUCAUCUUUUUUUUAGGUCUGGUUGCCAUACAGGAAUAAAGGCCGCAUUUAGUCUCAUUGAGUAAAGCCAAGAAUGGAGUAAAAGUCCAAGUCAGCAGGGAUUUCUGUAUAUAGAACUGAGAAAGGGAAGCAUAAUUUUAUCCUUUGCAGCUGGGGCAAAAUAUCUUGAGUCCACAUGCAAUAAUUUUGCUGUAGCUAUGCCUUCCAGGGCAAAGGAAUGUUGCAGGAAUUUAGCUUGUUUUUGAGUUGUUGGGAAACAGAGCUUCUUCUGUGAAUAAAAGGAACAAGUACUUGAGCUGCUAUAAUCACAGUGAAAAGUCACUAUAAACAAGAGCAAGGUUCUCCAGGAAAUACUUUCACUGAAAGACGUCAAAAAGUUCUCAGAGAAACCAACUGUGAAUCCAAAUAUUUGCCCAGGGAUUAAAGGCAGCCUUCUUUGUUUCAGGAUUGUCUAAUAAAAGAAUAAGUGACACCUGGUAAUAACUAACAAUAUUUAGUAUUUAGAUAUGUUUUCAAAUGUUGAAAUUACUCCCCAGAUAUUGCUUAACUUGGCCAACAAAGAAGAGAACAGCUGCCUCUUCGUGGUGUUGUCUUUUUCCCACCUUCAGUAAAGCAAUGUAUGAAUUGUUCCUCAAUAAUCAAGAUUAAUGCCAGCAGCAGUAAAGAAACAUAAGAAAGGAAAACUGUAACCUUGAUUGUUAUCCAUCAGUUUAGACAAGUACAAUGCAUAAUGUCUGCAUAACUUCCAUGUGAUUUGAGUAAGACUGAUAAUGAAAUGCUAAAUGAACUUUUGGGAGCUAUUUAUACAACCACCCAAGGAACUUGUUUAUACUGAUUCUCAUCCAGCAGGAGUGCCAGUAUGAAAAGGAAAAACAAAUGGAUAUCAUAGCUCUGAUGAAUCUGGGACAGAAUAGGUGCAGACUGAAACUAUUUCUCUUAUAUAUA